GAGUUUGAUCGUGGCUCAGGAUGAACGCUAGCGACAGGCUUAACACAUGCAAGUCGAGGGGCAGCGGGUAGUGCUUGCACUACUGCCGGCGACCGGCGCACGGGUGAGUAACACGUAUGGAACCUGCCCGCAGCAGGGGAUAAGCGGAAGAAAUUCCGUCUAAUACCGCGUAACAACGUUGGGAGGCAUCUCCCGAUGUUUAAAGAUUUAUCGGACUGCGGAUGGCCAUGCGGCGCAUUAGCUAGUCGGCGGGGUAACGGCCCACCGAGGCGACGAUGCGUAGGGGUUCUGAGAGGAAGGUCCCCCACACUGGUACUGAGACACGGACCAGACUCCUACGGGAGGCAGCAGUGAGGAAUAUUGGUCAAUGGCCGAGGAGGCUGAACCAGCCAAGUCGCGUGAGGAAGACGGCCUACGGUUGUAAACC
rnacentral:rRNA from 1 species